CGUGGCUGAUGACUUAUGAUAAAUGAUCGCUCUCUCUCUCUUUUCCUCUUUUACGUUCUCGUUCUUUCUUUUUUACUCUAAGGUUAUAGCGAAGUCGCGUCGUAUCGUGUCUUGAGUCGUUCAGAACACACCGGAGAGAAAUAAAUGAUGCAAUAAGCGUUUUCGCGCGUUUCCUGCGAACCUCAUGCGACACAUCUGAGUAAAAAAACGCUCGUGUUUUCGCAGCCAUGCUCUAUGCUGUCACGUUUCCCUCAGAGGAGACGCAAAAUCGGUGAAGUCUAUCGCGUAUAGGGUUAUAUCGUGAAAAAUGCUACGAAACCGCAUAUCUCAUAGAAUCGUCGCGAUAUUUGCUCUAAUACUCGAAAUCUCGGCAAUUAAACACUGGAUCGUUACUGAAAAUGGAAAAAUUCAGCCGCAGCAUGACAGUGUCAUUGAUAUGCGUCGACCCGAUGAUCUCUUGUCAUUUUUGGAUCAGGAAAAACGCUGGGAAACAGCUAGUGCCAUAAACAAGAGAAUUCCAAGGAAAGAGACAUCCAUUAACAAUCAGUUUGCAGACUUAGAUAUAUCUGAUAUAGAAAACUCAAAUCUGAAUUGUUUCUCAUUAGAUAAGUCAUUGGGUGAUAUUGAUGUACAUACUAGCAUAAUGACUGAUUUUAAACAUAGAAAUGGAAUAAGCAAGAAGGAUUAUAUAUUAUACAAUAAAGGGGCCAAUAAUAAACAAUUAGAACCAAACUGUCAAAAGACAUUUCCAUUAGAUUUUAGCAUACAUACAUUUGACCACCUUAAGGUGAUGCAGAAUCGAAAGAAUCUUACUCAGCAUGAAGAACUUAGUUUGAUGAAGUACCUGCCACUGAAUAUUGAUCUCAAUCAAUUUGGCCAUCAGCUCGCUUACAGUCUGUCUCGCAACAAGACAUCUUGGAUAUACUUGAAUCUGGCGUCACUUUAUUGGCGGAUCAAAGGGAACGCUUAUAACGCCUUAGAAUGCAGUCGUAGAGCAAUCGUACAUGCUCCAAGACAUUAUCGUGAUAUUCCACUUCUGAAUACCGCCGGCAUUUUUCACGCUGCGAGAUAUUUUGGCGAAGCCGCCAUCGUUUUACAUGCGGCAAUAAGCUACAAUCCAUUGGAGAGUUACUAUCAUUUAGCGUUGGGCUACGUGUACACGUCUCUCGGCGACUUCAAACGGGCCGUGGCGUGCUAUGAUAAUUGCUUGAAAUUGGCACCAGAGACGACGGAGGCCAAGCAGAUGAAAUCCGCUAUACUUUGCCAUCGUUUGCUGGAAACGUCACUGCUUUCAUUUGAUCAGCAUUUACGAGAUAUGCUAUCGGAAAUAUACACGUAUCACGACUCGAAGGAAGAGGGGCGGAAACACUCACUCUGGGAACAGGAUAUUAAGUCUACCACGAAAGAGAUGAAGCGUGCCUUCGGGCCCGAACAGAAUCCACAUUCGUUCACUAUAAAUCCAAUCGAAAAAUCGACUAAACAACAUCUUGAUAAUAACAUCAUGCUAUCCUCGAUGAAUCUGGAAGAUAGAAAGAAGGUAGCCGAGAAUAAGUUGCAGCAUGCGCAUCUACCUAAUCAUGCAUUAAAAAAUCUGCAGCAAUCGAAAGAACGCAAUCAUGCUACACAAGACACGUUGAUGGAUCUGAAAGUGAAAGAUAUUCAUGCAUUUGCGGUACCGACCAAGAACCCGAAGUACUAUAAUAUAGAAAUUAAGAAGGGAAACGAAGAUUUUGAGGCCGAUUACUGGCCGAAAAUAUCCGAUUGCGAUGGUUCUAUGUUGAUGUUCGGGGAUGGAAAACAAUAUUUGCCAAUAUAUUUGUCUCCAGAAAACAAAGGCUAUGCGAUACAUUCACUCGUAAACGAAUUGAUUGAUAUAGAAUUGGGGAAGAAGCACCCAUUGCCGUGGCAUCCACCGUUAUGUCAGGUGCCUGAGUCAUUUAACGAAAAGUACAUCACACAUAUAUUGCUGGAUGCGACGACACGACAACAUUCAUCGGAUAUUUUUCUAAAGCCAUUCUUGCAUAGUCUGGUGCAAACUGCGGAAUCCGCGGAAAUCGGACAGAGGAUCUUGACGGCAAUCGAGGCGAAAAUAGCUCCUUGGGUGUUAUCUAUGCUCGCAUCUUUGCAUUGGAGGACAACAGGGAAGCCUCGUUUAGCUUUAGAUUGCCUUCAAUUGGCAUUGGAUGAAGUUCCUGAAGAAUUUAGAGAUGUUCCUUUAGUUAGUAUAGCUUCGAUACAUCACAAAAUGGGCUUGAUUGAUGACGCUUUGCGGAUUACGAAGGAAGCCAUGCGUAUCAAUGCUGUAGAGCCAAUGACUAAUUUUUUGUUUGGUAUAUUAUUGAAUGUAAAAGGAAAUCACACGGGCGCAAUACAUUAUUUAAAACAAGCAUUGAGAGUGGAUUUACACCUAUACGAUGGUAAAGCCUUAAUGCUGUUGAAAACGUUAGCCUGUCGUGAAAAAUUUAAUGUUAUCAUCGGUAAUCAUCCAGAUUCUCAUAAAAUACAUAUAAUCCAUUAUCGUUGAAUGACGUAAAUCGUAGGAAUUUUAAGAUAAACGGAAAAGUAAAGGAAUGAAAGAAUAUAGUUGAUUCUAUUCACGAUACCGUGUUCUAAAAACAGGUUAUUGUGAUGAAUAAGGAGAAUCGUGUUGUCGUAAUCAGGCUGUGAGAAAUAAGGGAUUAAUUUACAUAAACGUUCUGUGAGUCCAUCUAUUGUAUUAUUCGCUAAGUACAAUUUGCGAGCAAGCAAUGUGCCUUCGCGCGAACGAUAAGUCAAGAACUAUAAACUAUAAACUGUGAUUUAAGCUAGAAACCAGAGGAAGCAGG